GCAGCUUGCCAUGCUGGAACAGAUGCAGCCUGAGAGUAAUAUAGAGGCUCAGAUUCCAAAGAGGAGGAAGAUGAACCAGAGAAGGCAGGGAGUUGACAAACAUAAUCCUUAAGAUAUGAAGUAGGAUUAUGUUGUCUUUGAGACUUUCUGGGAGAAGGAAUAGAGGGAGAAGAAGCUAAAACAGGAGGUGAGCUGGUAGGAUUGAAAGGAGAAGGGAAGACUGAAGCACUUGGGACAGUAACAGGGACAGGAAAAGGCAUCUGAACAGAUGUGGGAGAAGAGGGAGGAGAGAUGGGAAUGGGAGAAUCAGAGGCAUCAUCAUGUUCUCCAGAUGGAACAAAGGGAAAAGGAGAAGCAGGAGGAUGAGCAGAAGGAGUCACAGAUUUAAAAGGAAAACAUGAUUCAUGAAAGAGAACAUCCCUGGAGACCAAAUACUUCUUUGAAGCAAGAUCAUAUAAUCUAUAACCCUUUUUGCGAUUUAAAAGGAAAACAUGAUUCAGGAAAGAGAACAUCCCUGGAGACCAAAUAAUUCUUUGAAGGAAGAUCAUAUAAUCUAUAACCCUUUUUGCCAAAAGGAUAUCCUAGGAUAACACAAGGAAUGGCUCUUGGCUUUAACUUGUCCCUUUGAGGGAUGGGAACAGUGGCAUAGGCAAGGCAACCAAAAGUCCUCAAGUGAGAAUAGGUUGGAAUUUUCCCAUACAAAAUUUCAUGAGGAGACUUAUUAUGAAGCAAUCUGGUGGGUAUUUGUUAAGUAGAUAGGUAGCAGUCAACAAACAAUCCCCCCGGAAAGAUACUGGCAAGCCAGAUUGAAAAAGCAAAGCCCUACAGGUUUCAAGGAGAGUUCUAUG
rnacentral:lncRNA from 1 species